rnacentral:lncRNA from 1 species
CGAACACUCCCUAAGCCCAGCCGAAAGUCCAAGCCAAAGACACAGGCCAGCCUGCCUUUUAAUCCCUUAAGCCCAACCGAUACCCAAAAGAAAUAAACCAAAAUCCAUUUUCAAAACCCAACCAAAAAUAACCACAAACCCACAAAACUUAGCCCAAUCCAUUUUCUUCUUCUUUUCCUUUCUUUUCUUUCCUUUUUUUCUUCCUUGCCCAAUCGUUUCUUCUUCCUUCUUCCUCGGCCAACUGAGGAGGACCUCUCCGGUCACCAAAAUUUCUCAAAAUACACCUCUCCACUUCAUUUUUCGCGUAGAUCCCAU